rnacentral:rRNA from 1 species
GAUGAACGCUGGCGGCGUGCCUAAUACAUGCAAGUCGAGCGAACAGAUGAGGAGCUUGCUCCUCUGACGUUAGCGGCGGACGGGUGAGUAACACGUGGAUAACCUACCUAUAAGACUGGGAUAACUACGGGAAACCGGAGCUAAUACCGGAUAAUAUAUUGAACCGCAUGGUUCAAUAGUGAAAGACGGUUUUGCUGUCACUUAUAGAUGGAUCCGCGCCGCAUUAGCUAGUUGGUAAGGUAACGGCUUACCAAGGCAACGAUGCGUAGCCGACCUGAGAGGGUGAUCGGCCACACUGGAACUGAGACACGGUCCAGACUCCUACGGGAGGCAGCAGUAGGGAAUCUUACGCAAUGGGCGAAAGCCUGACGGAGCAACGCCGCGUGAGUGAUGAAGGUCUUCGGAUCGUAAAACUCUGUUAUUAGGGAAGAACAAAUGUGUAAGUAACUAUGCACGUCUUGACGGUACCUAAUCAGAAAGCCACGGCUAACUACGUG